CCUUUGAUAGCUCAGUUGGUUGAGCAGAGGACUGUAGAUCCUUAGGUAACUGGUUCGAAUCCGGCUUAAAGGA